AUUGAACGCUGGCGGCAUGCCUUACACAUGCAAGUCGAACGGCAGCACGGGAGCAAUCCUGGUGGCGAGUGGCGAACGGGUGAGUAAAGUAUCGGAACGUGCCCAGUCGUGGGGGAUAACGUAGCGAAAGUUACGCUAAUACCGCAUACGAUCUAUGGAUGAAAGCGGGGGAUCGCAAGACCUCGCGCGAUUGGAGCGGCCGAUAUCAGAUUAGGUAGUUGGUGGGGUAAAGGCUCACCAAGCCGACGAUCUGUAGCUGGUCUGAGAGGACGACCAGCCACACUGGGACUGAGACACGGCCCAGACUCCGACGGGAGGCAGCAGUGGGGAAGUUUGGACAAUGGGCGAAAGCCUGGUCCAGCCAUGCCGCGUGCAGGAUGAAGGCCUUCGGGUUGUAAACUGCUUUUGUACGGGACGAAAAGGUUUGGCCUAAUAAGCUGAGCUCAUGACGGUACCGUAAGAAUAAGCACCGGCUAACUACGUGCCAGCCGCCGCAGUAA
rnacentral:rRNA from 1 species